GAUCCUGGCUCAGGAUGAACACUGGCGGCGUGCUUAACACAUGCAAGUCGAACGGGAAACUUUUCAUUGAAGCUUCGGCAGAUUUGGUCUGUUUCUAGUGGCGGACGGGUGAGUAACGCGUGGGUAACCUGCCUUAUACAGGGGGAUAACAACCAGAAAUGGUUGCUAAUACCGCAUAAGCGCACAGGACCGCAUGGUCUAGUGUGAAAAACUCCGGUGGUAUAAGAUGGACCCGCGUUGGAUUAG
rnacentral:rRNA from 1 species